rnacentral:rRNA from 1 species
UGGCUCAGGAUGAACGCUGGCGGCGUGCUUAACACAUGCAAGUCGAACGGACGCUUUGGGAAACUGGAGCGUUAGUGGCAAACGGGUGCGUAACACGUGGGCGACCUACCCCAAAGUGGGGAACAACGGACCGAGAGGUUCGCUAAUACCGCAUUAGCUCAGUCCUUCAUUGGGUUGAGUAAAGCCGCAAGGCGCUUUGGGAGGGGCCCGCGGCCCAUCAGGUAGUUGGUGAGGUAAUGGCCCACCAAGCCGAUGACGGGUAGCUGGUCUGAGAGGACGAUCAGCCACACUGGCACUGAGAUACGGGCCAGACUCCUACGGGAGGCAGCAGUGAGGAAUAUUGCGCAAUGGGGGAAACCCUGACGCAGCGACGCCGCGUGGGCGACGAAGGCUUCGGGUCGUAAAGCCUUUGCAGGGACGAGUGAGGACGGUACCUGCCGAAUAAUUCGGCUAACUACAGUC